UGCUGGAGGUAUCAGAAGUGCGAAUGCUGACAUAAGUAACGAUAAAGCGGGUGAAAAGCCCGCUCGCCGGAAGACCAAGGGUUCCUGUCCAACGUUAAUCGGGGCAGGGUGAGUCGACCCCUAAGGCGAGGCCGAAAGGCGUAGUCGAUGGGAAACAGGUUAAUAUUCCUGUACUUGGUGUUACUGCGAAGGGGGGACGGAGAAGGCUAUGUUGGCCGGGCGACGGUUGUCCCGGUUUAAGCGUGUAGGCUGGUUUUCCAGGCAAAUCCGGAAAACCAAGGCUGAGGCGUGAUGACGAGGCACUACGGUGCUGAAGCGACAAAUGCCCUGCUUCCAGGAAAAGCCUCUAAGCAUCAGGUAACAUCAAAUCGUACCCCAAACCGACACAGGUGGUCAGGUAGAGAAUACCAAGGCGCUUGAGAGAACUCGGGUGAAGGAACUAGGCAAAAUGGUGCCGUAACUUCGGGAGAAGGCACGCUGAUAUGUAGGUGAAGCGACUAGCUCGUGGAGCUGAAAUCAGUCGAAGAUACCAGCUGGCUGCAACUGUUUAUUAAAAACACAGCACUGUGCAAACACGAAAGUGGACGUAUACGGUGUGACGCCUGCCCGGUGCCGGAAGGUUAAUUGAUGGGGUUAGCGGUAACGCGAAGCUCUUGAUCGAAGCCCCGGUAAACGGCGGCCGUAACUAUAACGGUCCUAAGGUAGCGAAAUUCCUUGUCGGGUAAGUUCCGACCUGCACGAAUGGCGUAAUGAUGGCCAGGCUGUCUCCACCCGAGACUCAGUGAAAUUGAACUCGCUGUGAAGAUGCAGUGUACCCGCGGCAAGACGGAAAGACCCCGUGAACCUUUACUAUAGCUUGACACUGAACAUUGAGCCUUGAUGUGUAGGAUAGGUGGGAGGCUUUGAAGUGUGGACGCCAGUCUGCAUGGAGCCGACCUUGAAAUACCACCCUUUAAUGUUUGAUGUUCUAACGUUGGCCCGUAAUCCGGGUUGCGGACAGUGUCUGGUGGGUAGUUUGACUGGGGCGGUCUCCUCCUAAAGAGUAACGGAGGAGCACGAAGGUUGGCUAAUCCUGGUCGGACAUCAGGAGGUUAGUGCAAUGGCAUAAGCCAGCUUGACUGCGAGCGUGACGGCGCGAGCAGGUGCGAAAGCAGGUCAUAGUGAUCCGGUGGUUCUGAAUGGAAGGGCCAUCGCUCAACGGAUAAAAGGUACUCCGGGGAUAACAGGCUGAUACCGCCCAAGAGUUCAUAUCGACGGCGGUGUUUGGCACCUCGAUGUCGGCUCAUCACAUCCUGGGGCUGAAGUAGGUCCCAAGGGUAUGGCUGUUCGCCAUUUAAAGUGGUACGCGAGCUGGGUUUAGAACGUCGUGAGACAGUUCGGUCCCUAUCUGCCGUGGGCGCUGGAGAACUGAGGGGGGCUGCUCCUAGUACGAGAGGACCGGAGUGGACGCAUCACUGGUGUUCGGGUUGUCAUGCCAAUGGCACUGCCCGGUAGCUAAAUGCGGAAGAGAUAAGUGCUGAAAGCAUCUAAGCACGAAACUUGCCCCGAGAUGAGUUCUCCCUGA
rnacentral:rRNA from 1 species